rnacentral:lncRNA from 1 species
CCUUAAUUAAGAGAAGCAAGGGCUGCCAUCCAAUUAUUUUUCUCUUCUUCAGACUUAGCAGCAAAUAUGAUACUGUUGUCAUUUGGGGGUACUAGUGCAAAGGCAUGUCUGCCCCACAAGUAUCUUCCUUAUCACAGAUUUCUACUCUCCACAUAAAAGAAAACUUUUCUUUUAAUCUAUAGUCUGCACUACUGUAACCUGGAAGCUGGUCUGGCCAUGAUUAAGUUUACUUCUGAUCAUUAAGCCAUCAAAGAAAAAAUAUGUCUUUCUUCUUGGCACCAAUUCUUGUCAUUUGUCCUUCCAUUAUGAAUUCAUUGCAGCAUUGUGCAAUAUCUUUGCUUAUCCAUCCAUCUAUUUUUCCCAAUUUCUGUCAUUUUUCUGUUGGUCCAGUUCUUUCUAAUUAAUUGAUGAUUAUAAAAAGGGCAAACUGGAUCCCUAAUUUAAAAAAUAAAGAUAAGAAUUUAAGUUUAGUCAAUAAUUGCACAAUCCCAAUUCCUAAUUGCCUCAAGGGCAAACUUUCAAAUCAAGUUGCAAAAAUAUUGCAUUGGGCUAAUGGUGUUAUUCAGUGGUACAGAACAAGUUAUCAGUAUAAAUAAAACCAUGGGUAUAAUCCACAUAAUUUUAAAAGAAAAAAAUAAAUAACAAAAUACUAAAUUUUAUAAACAAAAUUUAUGUUCUUUUAACUUUGUCACUAAUACAUAUAUGCCCUGUUUCAUUGCUGUGAAAAAGAACUACUACAGACUCUAUAUUUCAAAAUUCCUAUUACCCUAAGUAGUAAAAUUACAAAGAAACUUAAACUCUUGUAUUGAUUAUAAAAAUAAUUAAACACAUUUUAGGUGUCUUAGCUGUGAAAGAGCUAAUAAAAAGUAAAACAAAAUUGAAAGAAAAGCACAACUUUUAAAAUUGCAACUUUCAUUAUAAUUUAUAUUUUUGAGAAAACCAAGCACCAAAUACAA